rnacentral:rRNA from 1 species
UACGGAGGGUGCAAGCGUUGUUCAGAUUUAUUGGGCGUAAAGCGCGUGUAGGCGGUUUUAUAAGUCUGAUGUGAAAGCCCUGGGCUCAACCCGGGAAGUGCAUUGGAUACUGUAAGACUUGAAUACGGGAGAGGAGAGUGGAAUUCCUGGUGUAGGAGUGAAAUCCGUAGAUAUCAGGAGGAACACCGGUGGCGAAGGCGGCUCUCUGGACCGAUAUUGACGCUGAGACGCGAAAGCGUGGGGAGCAAACAGG